rnacentral:lncRNA from 1 species
CCCUACUGACGGUAGAGGAGUAAAACUGCUCGGUGGGAACAUUUGAUUCUCUAGAGAGAGUUGACUAUUGAGAAAUAUACUAAGGACAAAGCUGCCAGGUACGCUCAGAAGAUGAGAAAAAGCUUGGGAUUGCUUCAGAUCGUUUUUUCAGGUAAGAAAAAUCAUUUUACAUUACAUAGUCAUAAUUAUCAGACAAGUGCUAAGCAAGGAAGUAUAAUACGAAAAGGCUCUCCUGAUAUAAUAUCUCAGAUAAUUGUAAAGAAAUAUGUUGUCAUCAGUUGCAAAACAGAUCUUUCUACUUUUAUAUUUUUGCUCAAGAAACUACAGUGUACGUUGUGAUAUUCUUCUCUUGCUGGCUCUGUGACACACUUCAUUAUAGGUCAUUCUGGCAUGUAUUGAUGACACACUUUUUAGCAUGUCCUCAUAUGAGUAGCACUGAUAAUGUGUCAUUAAAGCUGGGACAUGGAUUACCUAGGAUGUUCAGAUGGCCUCCUGGGCAUUGUCCAUAGAAACUAUUGAAGAUACUGGUUGAAAAGAAAAGAAAGCCACGAGGGUGCUGUGAACUGUGAACAUGAAGGAGAGAAAAAUUGACAAGGUGGGAAAUUUCAUGUGAUCUCAGCUUGUUUUUUUUUUUGUUUUUUUGUUUUUUUAAAUAUUAUCUUCAGUGUCCCAGCCUGCCAUUAUCCAGUUAUAGCUUACAUUGUUCAUUCCUUAAGGCAGCUGGUAGGAGAGCAAAGCAAGGCCUUGCCUUGAAGAACAUACAGUUUGUUCAGAGAGGUGCAACAUACUGUCAUGUUUUACCUUACGAUCAGUGAGAUUAGUAGAGGAAAACUGUUAAAAAGAGUGAGUUAAAAGCAGAUAAUUGAAGGUAGGUUUGUUGGUCUGUAAGUCAGUAUGAACGAGCUGAUAAAGCCACCUUUGGGAGGAGACAAGUCAGGAGCAUGUAAGGAUGUUGAGUCUAUAAUAUAACAAGUCAGUUAACAAUGGAGAAAGACUUUGUGGGGGAGGGAAAAGGAAUUCCUAUUUCUCAGUCACAUGAUAAAUAUAAAUCACUGCCUCAUGCACUUACUGCCGCAUUACAUACAUGCUUCUGAAAGGGCAUAUUUCCCUGCAAGGUUUGUCACAGGUAAGAAAAAAGAAGACAGUAAAAAGUGAUUAGAAGAAGGGAGGUAUUUUAUCUGUUACUUAUCUAAUCAGUCUGCAAACGUUUGCUUUGCUUUUGUCAAAAACUGGGCCAGAAAAACCCUGAGAUCCAAUUUCUAGGCUUCAUUUUUAAUUUGCGAUACUUAUCUCUGUUGGUAAGCUUAAAAUGCCCUAUUUACCAUGCGGUUUUAAUAAACCACACUGAGUAGCAGAUAUAUUAUGUGUGUCUUGCAUACAAACACUGCAUUUUUUUUUUUUAAUACUCAAUUUGUAAAUAAAGUUUCUCACUUGAACAGAUCGACAAGCCCUCAAGAAUUUCCAUUGCCUUUCAAGCAUGUGAAUGAUUUUAGGACUAACUGUGAAAAGUUAGCCAAUUCGAUCAAAUAAAGCAAUGAUGUUAAAAUGAAGUUUGUUCUUUCUGGUUAGUUCUCUCAUUGCUCCAUUUUAUAUCUAUCUAUCUAU